UUUUGGAAACUCUGAUUGGUUUGGUUAAAUGAUUCAUAAAUAGGGCAGCACCCCACGGAGCAACUAGAGGGAAACUCCCCUUGAAAAUGGUUUUUAUGCUUUGUAUUUCAUACUAUUUUUGUUAAAGUAGGGAGGAAACGCCCUUCUCAGGGUCCCAGAGGACACAGAAGAGAUUGCAACACCAUCGCAACAUUGUGAAUCAUCUUCAGAAUGAGAUAGGGAGGCAGGUCACCCCACAAGGGGAGAACAUCCAUCAGGCUAUGUUCACGGAGACCGUGGAUGAAUUUCUUUUCUUAGGUGGCUUUUUCUCUCUAUCUAAAUUGUGAAAUGGCUUAAGGACAUUCCCAGCAAAGGGCAGAGAAAGCUGUAUUUCUAGGAAAUAGAAUUUGUUAAAAGUCAAACAGACAAAAAAAAAAAAAAAAUCUUCCAAUUGAGGUCUGUCUCUGAAGUUUUAAAAAUCCACCCAUCGGUGCCGUAAUUAAAACAACAACAACAACAACAACUACUGAAUACAUGUGUACUUUGGAAAGGAGACUGACAUGUGGCCAAGGACAGUUCUGAAAUACCGAGUGAUUGUGGCGACCCAGGAAGAUGAGGGCUGGAGGGUGCCUGGGAGCUCCGACAAGAACGACGACUUUGCCAGAGUCAUUUCUGUCGGGUUGAAGAGGCAGAUGGUCCUUGCUACAAACAUGCAUGGGAGGGUCCUCCCACAGUCCUUCCAGUGCAAAAUUCCUGUCUUCUCAAGAUUCAGUCUAAAGGCUAACCCUUCUGCCAGGCUCUCCCAAAUGUCCUCCCACCUGAGCCUGGCCCGCAUUUGCUUCCAUGUUCUACUUUUCUGCCCUGUUUUCUGAGAGCAUCUAUGGAGCCCCGUGCUAGCCCUCUGCCCAGUGGAAUGAAUCCCAUGCCUGUCUCCACCAGGGAAUUACAAAGCCUUUGCGAGAGCAAAGGUCGGGUCGUAGUCACUGCUGUACGUCCAGCACUUUAUAAAAAUGUUAUCUUCUCAUUAAUCUUAAUAAAAUACAAAUAUUAUCCUU